rnacentral:rRNA from 1 species
AGAGACAGCAGCCGCCACGGUAAUACGUAGGUGGCGAGCGUUGUCCGGAAUCAUUGGGCGUAAAGGGAGCGCAGGCGGGCAUGUAAGUCUUUCUUAAAAGUGCGGGGCUCAACCCCGUGAUGGGAAAGAAACUAUGUGUCUUGAGUACAGGAGAGGAAAGCGGAAUUCCCAGUGUAGCGGUGAAAUGCGUAGAUAUUGGGAGGAACACCAGUGGCGAAGGCGGCUUUCUGGACUGCAACUGACGCUGAGGCUCGAAAGCCAGGAGAGCGAACGGGAUUAGAUACCCGCGUAGUCCCUGUCUCUUAUACA